rnacentral:rRNA from 1 species
UACGUAGGGAGCAAGCGUUGUCCGGAAUCAUUGGGCGUAAAGCGCGCGUAGGUGGCCACAUAAGUCCAUUGUGAAAGUCAAAGGCUCAACCUUUGAAAGCCGAUGGAUACUGUGUGGCUAGAGUACGGAAGAGGCGAGUGGAAUUCCUGGUGUAGCGGUGGAAUGCGCAGAUAUCAGGAGGAACACCAAUAGCGAAGGCAGCUCGCUGGGACGUUACUGACACUGAGGCGCGAAAGCGUGGGGAGCGAACAGG